AACGCACAUUGCGCCCUCUGGUAUUCCGGAGGGCAUGCCUGUUUGAGUGUCAUUAAUCUCUCACAAGACCUUCUGGUUUUGUUGAUGUUGGGAGCUGCGACCCCCCAGUGGGGACGCUCUCCUCAAAUGCAUUGGUGCGGCCCGCCGCCCGGUUACACAACGUUCUAGGUUCGUCCAACUCGUUUCAAGCCGGCGCAACUUUGGUGCAGCACCUAAAGCCCGCCCCGAGCCCCGAGCUCUCGGCACAACUUCAUUUAUUGACCUCAGAUCAGGUAGGAAUACGCGCUGAACUUAA
rnacentral:misc_RNA from 2 species